AUGAGGAAGAUAAGAGUUCUCUGGAAGCUCUGGUUAUUGGUAAAUGUCAAUGUUAUGUGUGGGUAUGUGUCUGGUAUUGUUACGAUGGAAUUGUGUGGUGGGGAGGUAGAUGAAUGAUCUCUAUUUCUCAAUGGUGUCCCCUUUUUCUGGUUUGAUGUGUGUCUAUAUAUAGCACCUAGCUGUUAGCCUUGAAGGUUAGUAAUCUGCCAUGACUUUUUGCUUUCCUGAUUAUUGUCUCUUUCUAAAACUGCUCAAUGAAUAUUGCCAUUUAUGAUUAGUAUGUAUAACUAAUGACUUUUGGUUAGUAUCUGAUGGCUGUCUCUUCAAGUAAGUCAUGGCUGGUUGCUUAGAAUUCCUUGUGUAACUGACCUGAUUUCCAUUCUUUAUUAAUUUCUGAUAUUUGUUAAUAUCACACUGAUCAUUGAUAUGCUAUUGUAACAGUUUUGCAGUUAUGUAUGAUGGAC